rnacentral:rRNA from 1 species
AGAUUGAACGCUGGCGGCGUGCCUAACACAUGCAAGUCGAGCGGUAACAGGUGUAGCAAUACAUGCUGACGAGCGGCGAACGGGUGAGUAAGGCAUCGGAAUCUACCCACGAGUGGGGGAUAGCCCGGAGAAAUCCGGAUUAAUACCGCAUAUGCCCUACGGGUAGAGCGGGGGAUCGUAAGACCUCGCGCUGGUGGAUGAGCCUACGUCCGAUUAGUUAGUUGGUGGGGUAAAGGCCUACCAAGGCUACGAUCGGUAGCUGGUCUGAGAGGACGACCAGCCACACUGGGACUGAGACACGGCCCAGACUCCUACGGGAGGCAGC